UACAGAGGUCCCAAGCGUUGUUCGGAAUUACUGGGCGUAAAGGGUCUGUAGGUGGCCAACUAAGUCAGACGUGAAAUCCCUCAGCUUAACUGGGGAACUGCGUCUGAUACUGGAUGGCUCGAGUGUGGGAGAGGAAUGCGGAAUUCCAGGUGUAGCGGUGAAAUGCGUAGAUAUCUGGAGGAAUACCGGUGGCGAAGGCGGCAUCCUGGACCAUAACUGACGCUGAGGCGCGAAAGCUAGGGGAGCGAACGGG
rnacentral:rRNA from 1 species